rnacentral:lncRNA from 1 species
GUAAAAACCAUCACUGCUAACCACAAAUGUUAGAUCAGAAAUAUCUAGUUUUUAAAAAGUAUGCCACAUAAUUUAGAAAAGGUUAAAGUGCCUAUUUUAAAAAACAGCACUUAUGAAAACAAGGAUUAUUCAAUCUAACCUGAGUCAAAUACAAUAGGAACCUUCUUUUAUAAGUUUUUCUUUAUUCAGUAAUUCCUUACAGUAUCUACUUUCUAGCUUGUUAGUUAAAUGAACAGUUCAAAAUCAUAUAUUAAUAAUUAACAAGCAGUCUAACCAGACUAAUACAAUACCUGGUGGUUGCCUAUCAUUACCAACCACCUGCUGGAAUCCUGUUUAAUUAGGUAAGAAAGUCACACAACUACAGAUGGGCUGAAUCUGAGGGUGAUUUAGUAUUAAGGA